rnacentral:snRNA from 1 species
AGCUUUGCGCAGUGGCAGUAUCGCAACCAAUGAGGUUUAUCCGAGGCACGAUUAUUGCUAAUUGAAAAUGUUUGCCGGACAGUUUGCUUCCCAGGUUGUGCAGGAACAAAUCGGGGAGGUUAAAUGCCAGCUCUUCCAUCCACUCUAAGAG